AGUGAACGCUGGCGGUAGGCCUAACACAUGCAAGUCGAACGGCAGCACAGUAAGAGCUUGCUCUUACGGGUGGCGAGUGGCGGACGGGUGAGGAAUACAUCGGAAUCUACUUUUUCGUGGGGGAUAACGUAGGGAAACUUACGCUAAUACAGCAUACGACCUACGGGUGAAAGCAGGGGAUCUUCGGACCUUGCGCGAUUGAAUGCGCCGAUGUCGGAUUAGCUAGUUGGCGGGGUAAAGGCCCACCAAGGCGCCGAUCCGUAGCUGGUCUGAGAGGAUGGUCAGCCACACUGGAACUGAGACACGGUCCAGACUCCUACGGGAGGCAGCAGUGGGGAAUAUUGGACAAUGGGCGCAAGCCUGAUCCAGCCAUACCGCGUGGGUGAAGAAGGCCUUCGGGUUGUAAAGCCCUUUUGUUGGGAAAGAAAAGCAGCAGGUUAAUACCCCGCUGUUCUGACGGUACCCAAAGAAUAAGCACCGGCUAACUUCGUG
rnacentral:rRNA from 1 species